rnacentral:lncRNA from 12 species
CUCUAAUAAGCUUCCUGUCACAUGAGGCUCUGGUUCUGGUGAAGCAGAUGUGGUUGCUGACUUGUUUCCAAAAUGUUUGUUGAGUGGUGAUUAGAUUCUGUCAUACUGAUGUUAUAUCUCUGUGAUCUCAUUCAAUACAAGUAGUUCUGCAGACAGUGAAAUGUUUUUUUCCUAUGGAUUUGUAUCUUGGAUUGUGUUUAGGAAUGGAUUUUCUGAUGUUUAAUGGGGAUCGAGUUCAUUUUAGCCUGUUUCUUCAAUGAGAAAUGAAUAAUCUGUCUUAACUUGUCUAUUUUCACAGGAAUUAAAUAUCAUAACUUCCAUAAAUCUGAGUGGGAAUUAUGAACCAGCUCCAACAUUAUUUGGGGCCAAUUCAUAGAAACAAACAUAAACACAAGUCUCAUUUUCUUACAAAAGCAAAAAAAAAAAAAGAAAACAGAAGUUAUGUUCAAGGUCAAAUUAUUUCCACAUACAAUUUAAGGGCAGGGGGAGAAUAAGCAAAAGGAGCAGAUGGUAAGUGAGUAUUUAUAGUUAGGUUUGUGUACCUUAGUUACAGUGGUCCAACCCUUUUUCUAACAACAUGUCUGGUCUUCUGAUUGCUCCUGUUACCUUAUGUUCAAGUAAUUGCAGUUGAUUUUCUUUCUUUAUGAUUUAUUUGCAGUCAUCAAGGUUAUGCUGUUGGUACGUUGCUAGAGUGAAGAAAC